ensembl:lncRNA
CCCUUCUUCUUCCUCUUCUUCUUCUCCUCCCUCUUCUCUCCCUCUCCCCCGUCUCCGUCUCCCUCCCUCCCUCUCCCUCCCUCUCUCUCUUCCUCCCCCUCCCUCCUCCUCCUUUUUCUCUUUCUCUCUCUCUCUCACACACACACACACACGCCCAAGGCUCAGCCGGUGCUUCCCUCCGCAGCCUCUCCAGCGAAUGGCACACGAAGGCCUCGCGCACCACGUCCCACUGCAACAUCUUCAAGCUGCCCAAGCCGGUGCACAGCCUGCCCUCCCUGGACUCCGUCUCGUCCUCGCAGCAGCUGAUCACCCUCCGCCCAUAUGGCAGCGCCAAGGAGUCUAUAUUGUCCUGGAGAACCGAGAGUAACAGCAAGGGCGCCCCACACGCCAAGAGCGCUACCCAGGCGCCGGAGGAGAGCGCGCAGAUGUCGGAGGAGGUAGUGAUCCGUGAAGACCUGCCAGAAAUAGUGACUCACCUGGCCAGGCAGGAGCUGCUCAGCAAGUAGAGCGGAAGAAGGGGGUUGAGGUGUGUGUGUGUGUGUGUGUGUGGAAACUACGGCAUAACUACGGGGGGGGGGGCUUUAUUUUUUUAAAAAAAGAUACCUGGAAUGAACCCGGAUAAGAAAAAAAGGAAACCCACAGAGCCUCCAUGCCAGGAGUGAGAAAUGAGAACAGCCCCAACUGGGACAGAGACCCCCCAACCGAGGGGAUGGGGUGGUGGGGUGUCACAGGCCGGGUUGGGGGGUCCCCACCGGCCAUCCGCCCCAACUGGCUGCUGCAUUUACUUUUUAUUUUGGUCUCGUAGCCGUAUUAAACUGGACGGUACCCUUCGGAUCUCCGAGCCUUUUUGAAAGAGGGCGGAGGGGAAAGUGGGAAGGGGAGGGGAAGAGGUUCUCCCCUCCUGGGGUAGGGAGGAAGGGACUCCUCGAAUUAGGACCGUUCAUCCAGCGAACCGUUCCAAACGACGGGGCCCACGAA